UUUCUCUUCACCUUCUACCUCAUCCUUCUUCUUUUCUUUCUUCUUCUCCUUUGCCUCUUUGUCUUUCUUCUUUUCUUUCUUUCCCUCUUCUAAUUCUUCAUCUUCAUCUUCUACCUCAUCCUUGUUCUUCUUUUCUUUCUUCUUCUCCUUUGCUUCUUUGUCUUUCUUCUUUUCUUUUUUUCCCUCUUCUAAUUCUUCUUCAUCUUCUUCUACCUCAUCCUUCUUUUCUUUCUUCUUCUCUUUUGCCUCUUUGUCUUUCUCCUUUUCUUUCUUUCCCUCUUCUAAUUCUUCAUCUUCAUCUCCUACAUCAUCCUUCUUCUUCUUCUCUUUCUUCUUUUCCUUUGCUUCUUUGUCUUUCUUCUUUUCUUUCUUUCCCUCUUCUAUUUCUUCAUCUUCAUCUCCUUCU
rnacentral:lncRNA from 1 species